CCCCGCCCCGUCUCUCUCCAUCCCUUUCUGGGGGAGGCUUGGUUGAAGAGAAACAAGACAUCGAAACCUUCCUGCUACAGUAUUUUAAGUGAAGAUGGAGAAGCAGCCUUACAAGACAAAAUUGCUGGGACUGUCCCUGGCAUCCGUUCUCUCUUUCACACGGCUCCGUCGUGGAUCAGAAACAUUUAAGCAGGUGGACAUCACCCGCUGUCCAGGCACCGCAUGCAGAAUUCCAGUACAGCUGAAGGGAUAGCAUGGAGAACUAGAGAAACUUCUCCUGUUCCUUUGCGGGUAAACACCAGACAGGCUAGACCUGACCUCAUCCAAAGACAAAAGUAGAUGCUUAUAUUUAAAAAGUAUUAGUAUAUUAUGCUAACAAAAUUAUAUGUGAUGCAUAUGCGAGGAAAGAAAAGGAAAGAUAGCUCAUAGAUCCUUAGACGAGGUCAGAAAUAAAACACAAGUACAUUAUUUAUCAGAUAUAGACAAAAUUUAUUGACUCAGGGACUGAAGGUAAAAAGAUUAUAGAAAAAUGUAUCAACCCAAUGUAAUAAAAAUGCAAUGGUUGCUAUACCAACAUCACAAUUUCCAAAGAAAGGCCAUUAAAUUGGAUAUUAAAAAAUCUUUUUUUUUAAAAUAAAUAUAAUCCACAAAUAUGUCAAAUAGUGUAUUUCAAAAAUAUAUAAUCAGGAUAUAUAUGAAGUAAAUCCUCUAUAUGUAGAAAUAUGCCAAGACAUCAAGUGGCAGACGAGAGUAGCUGGAGAUUUUAACAUGCUUGUCACCAUCUUUGACAGAAUAAUUAUGCAAAAUACAGUGAUAAAGAGGCUAGGAAAUUCAGGCGUAGAAUAGGGACUCAGGCACCAAUUGUUCCUUUCAGGUGAGUAGUUGACUUGACCAAGCCUCGGUGGCUCUGCCUGUCAUGUUAGGUCAAUGCAGAUUCUUACAUUGCAAAGACAAUUGUUCUAAGGGUGCAGAGGGAACUCUGGGUGGCUGGCUGGUGGUAAGUAGAGGAGAAGGCCAUCAGAGUGCUUGAGUCUCCAUGGCUGCUCCAUGAACGUAAAGAAGAAGGGAAUCCUCCCUUGGCAUAAGAAAAGGUAGCGUGGGCAAGGCAUAGACAGGGGGAAGCAGGGUAAGGUUGGUUGGUGUUGAUUUUAUUUAUUAUUAUUUUUAGGGAAGAACCCAGCCACACUGGAGUGUAGGUACAGUUAUAAAUACAGCAGCUGCAGUAGUGGGAGAAGAUGCUGGAGGGAUUCUUGGAGCAUCCGAGAGCCUUAGAUUCCGACAGACUGACUGUGGGCCUCUGUGCUCUGGCCUGAAAGGUGGAGUGACUCAUGACUCCUAGGAUGGGGUUCCUAAUAAGCCCUAUAGAAUGUUUCUGUUCAACUUUAAAAAUCAUGGUUAGAGCCGGGUGCGGUGCUACACCCUAUAAUCCCAGUGGCUUGAGAUGCUGAGGCAAGAGGAUCACGAGUUCAAAUCCAGCCUCAGAAACUCAGUGAGACCCUAAGUAGCUCAGCAAGACCCUGCUUCUAAAUAAAAUAUUAAAAAAAAAAAGGUCUGGGGAUGUGGCUCAGGGGUUAAAGAUUGAACCCCUCGGUUCAAUCUUUGGUAUCAAAGAAUAAAAUUUGAUUAAGUAACAUAAAAUUAUAUUAACCCCUGUUAACCCUUUUUAGUCCCAUAUUAACCCCUUUUUGGUGUGUAGCUCAGUGGGAUCAAACACAUUCAUCAUCCAGCACAGCUCCCACCCGUGUUCCCAUCCAUCUCCAGAACUUGUUUCAUCUGUAAAACUCAAACUCCCUGCCUGUGAGCCAACAGCUCCUCCCUCUCCCCUCUCUAUAGCCCCUGGACCCACCAUUCUCUUUCUCUCUCUGGGAUGACUGUUCUAAGUACCUCAUACAAGAAGAGCUUAUUUCUCUCGAGGUCUACCCAUAGGGUAGCACGUGUCAGGAUUCCUUCUUUUUAAAGGCUGAGUGAUCUUCCAUUGCAUGUUUAGACUGUGUUUUGUCUGGCCAUUCCAUUAGUGGCAAGUGGUUGCAUCCACAUUUUAGCUACUGUGAAUAAGGCUGCUCCAAACAAAGGGUGCACAAAUGUCCUCUUUGAGACCCUGGCUUCAGUUCUUUUGUGGAUAUGCCCAGCAGUGAGCUUGUUGGAUCUAAAGGUAAUCCAGUGUUAAGUUACUGAGCAACUGUCUCGUAGGACCAUUGUACCUGUCCACCGAUGGUGUACCAGCGUUCCGAUUUCUCACCAUCUUCACCAGGACGUGCAGUUUUCUUCUUAUAGUAGCCAUCCUGAGAGAUGUAAGAUGGCAUGACAGUGUUUUUGAGGUACAUCUCAAACAUGAUUGGCGAUGUUGAACAUCCCUUCCUGAGCUUAUUGGGAUAUGCCUAGCAGUGAGCUUAUAUCCUUCCUGUAUAAAUUCUCACAAGCUCCUUGAAAUGUUUAAGUAGGAGGCAGUUCAGGUUACAAAUUCAGAAUCAUCUUCGGUGUGCAUCAUUGGCGAUUGCUAAUGCUGGUGUUGUUGCUGUCAUUAUCUCAACAAGUGACUACGCCCCCACCCUGUGGUUUAAAGGAACCAUUAAGGCAUUUGAAGCAAGGCAACACCUGAUCAAUUUCGUGUUUCAAAAAUAGCUCUGACCUGACACAGUGAUGUAAAAUUGGAGGACCACCGAUGAAUUUGUUUACUUUUUAUUUCCUCAUGCUGGAAAAUGAGAAUCGGGCCAAUCUGACAUUUUAUUUGGAUUUGUUCAUUUUCCAUUGCAGGUGUAUUGCUGCAAAAAGUGGCAUGAGGACCUAAUUAUUCAGGAGAUACUUAAAGGGCUGGCAAAAACAUUACUGCUUUGUAGACGGGCUGAUACCCCAGUUUUCCUUAUCAUUGCUUUCUCUAGAGAGCCCCCCUGCCCCAUGCAAACCAUCAGCAUUAUUUCUGGAGGUAAGGUAAACAUUUUAAUCUUUGUGGCCUGAUCUUGAUGGAGAACAGAUCAACCAAAUCCCGCUCCUGCCUGCAAAGCAAUCAAUACCAAGGAAGAAAAUGAAAAGCACUUAAACCAAACUUCCUGAAUGGAUACUCCCAAGAAACACGGGAAGGAUUUUUUUCCUUAGAAAGGUUAUCUUGGGGGUUUGAAUCUUUUACAGAGCCCUAACAAAUGGCUCAGAAAAGGGAUUAGAUGGACUCCCUGGGAAUGGUAACGAUUUUAAUGUCACUGUUGAGGUUGACAAAAAUAAAAAUAUUUCCUUAGAAAAUGUGAACGAGUGGAAACCUUGUUCCUUGUUUGGGCUCCAGGCCGGCAGGACUAGGGAAAGCCUGGUGGCCCAGCGGAGGAGGUCCUCACCCGAUACGUGGUUUUGGAUGCCUGGCAGUGCCUCCUUACCUGCUCCAAUAUGGGUGAGCAGGUAUGUGACAUCCCAAGUAAGACAUUUCAUUCAUUCAGUCUUGGCAGGCGUCACUCCUGGGCUGUCUCUUGGCUCCUCUGCUUUUCCUGGUUUCACCUCCACCUACUUCUCCUCUCUCCCUCCACAUGCCCCCCACGCUUCCUGCUCCACCUUAUGCUCUCCAGCCUUAUCGUCCUACUGUGCCCUUGAUUUCUACCCCUUCUCCUACUCACCCUUUCUCGCUCCAGACUCACAAGGUCUAAGCUCUGCACCUUAUGUUCCUCAGGUAUCCCAAACUCGACGUCUAAAACCAUAAACUUUUCCUAAGAAACCAAUCCUACCACUUACUCCGCUCCUAAACCCUUGUUUUUAUCUUGGAAAUCUAUGACUACUUUCCCCCCCAUCUGUUUAAUGAAUUAACCAAUCCAGUUGUUUCUAGCUUCCCAUGUUGUUCUUGGACCAUCCACCUCUGAUUUCACCCAUCCGUCAACUUUAUCUCUUACCUGUGUCGUUCAACGGUACCUCAUCUGGUCUGAUUCCCAUCUACCUUUCUUCUAGUACAAACUCUGGAUUGCUUUGCUUAAAAUGCAAAUCUAAUUAUUUUAUCACCAAUCACUACUUCCACACCUUUUAUCACUUCCAAGAAGAGCCAUGUGCUGCGGGACUAUGUUUUGGUCAACGAUGCACUACAUACACAAGAGUGGUCCCAUGGAGCUGUCAAAGUCUUAUGGCCUAAGGAUGCUGUAGUCAUGGUAACACCACAGAGCAAGGCACCCCUCAGAUGGUGAUGCUGGUAUAAAUAAGCAUAUUGUGUUGUCAGUCCCGAGAGGAUUGCUACACAAUUAC
rnacentral:lncRNA from 1 species